GUCCCAUGGUACUCACUGAUGAGAGACUCGAAACACAACCCCUCAUUCUCUCUCUCUCUCUCUCUCUCUCUCUCUCUCUCUCUCUCCCCUCAACACCAUCCAAAACCUCGACUUCAAACCCGCAGAAUACUACGAGCCGAUCAAGGAGAUCUACAAGGGCCGGAAUUGCAUUGGGAUUUGUGACUAACAAAUUGAACGUUUUUGAUAUCGUUAAGUGCAGUGGUGGAAACCCCGUCACCGUGAUCUCCCGCAGUUCGAUCCUCUUCGGUUUCUCAAAAGCUUUAGAGACACCAAUAUCGGUUCUCUCUCUCUCUCUCUACCUACUUUUUGACUGUUACUUGAUAACUUCGGUGAAGACUGAGCUUUGUUUGUUUAGUGAGAGAAAAAAAGGGGAAAUUGGGGGAAAGAAAAAUAAGAAAAUGCUUAGUUUGAAUAUUUUAGGGUGGUUUGGACACUACUAUGGUAGAUUGGCCGAUGCAGUAGUUAAGAACAGCGAAAUGGCUGCGGCAGGUGGUAACAAUUAAGAGAAGGGGAGGGAUAGAAAUUGACUCUAAAGGCUUUAGUUUGAAAGGGACAUGAUCUGGUAGUUAGGAAAAGCGAUAUGGUUAGUGGGUAGCACUACGGCCACUACCCUCUAAGGAGUGUCUAAUGAGUGCGAGUACGAUACCAGUCGUGCCCCUAAGAUUUCUCUCUCUCUCUCUUUCUCUCUCUCUCUCUCUCUCUCUCUCUCUCUCUCUCUCUCUCUCUCUCUCCAUAUUAUAUUUCAGUGAAUCUCCAUUCACAAGCUGGCGUCAAUCCUUGCAAACUGAUUCUGACCUUACAUUUUCAGGUGUGCAAAAGCUCAAGCUUUAUCCCAAUUGUAUACGUUUCUGGCCUCACUUAUCUGUAUAGCUUUUCCGUGGGCGUCAAAACUUAUUAAUUUGAUCAUCUUUUGUAAACAUUGUUACGGCUUGUUAGUGUGAAUUUCGAGAAUUGAGUUUUUUUUUUUUUUUUUUUCAUGUGCCUGUGCGUAUGCUUUUAGAGUUAUGUCAAUAGGCAUGUAAUUGUGUCUCCUAUUUACAUAACUGUAAACCUUUUGGUUAAGCCAGAGGCUAACUUUGUUUACAUUGCUUUGGCUAUUGUUGAAUCCUUUAUUUUGUGUUUGAGCAUAAGAAACUGUUUUUGAUAUUUUCAAACCUUGUGGUGCAUCAGUAGGUAAUACUUCCUGUAUGCCAGUGCCAUUGCACUUGCUAGACUAGAGUUUCCAAUCUAGUGCUGGUCUCUUCAAUUCUUUUUGAUAAAUUAGUCGAAGAGAUAUUAGAUUUUGGUGAUGUGCUUGUACUGUUUGUUGCAGCUACUUAGGCCACAGGAGACCAAUCCACAGCUUAGAAGCACACCUUAUGGCAGGCAAUUGCAGAUUUUACUGAUGGACAAGCCAGUAUACACAGGUAAAAUGCAGUGGGCUUAUCUUGGCGGAGCCAUGUUGGUACAAUUGACCGUAGUGAUUUGGUAGCAUUUUCUGCAGUACACACAAGGCCUGUUAAACAAAACUAUGAGAGAUUAAUCCAGUGUGAUAAGCGUCUCAAUCUUGUUAGCCAGCAGCCUGAUUUGGUUCUUGAUUCACCAUAUUUUGACGUUCAAGCCUCUGCCAAAGGAUCUCCCACCUCCAGCUUGGAUGACAUGGAAUCAACCCCAGCAGCUCAAUCUUCCUCUAAGAUUGGACAGAAUUCUGCUGGUUUAGUGCCAGAGCAUUUGUUGCCACAAGCUCCUUCUCCUAGCUCAGUGAUGGAUUUGCGUGCAAUAGAGGGUAAUGAAAGUCGUGGAGGAAACGGUCUUCAGGCGCAAUAGUCUAUGUCGACGAGCGAUCUUGUGAAUCACAUUGGACACAAAAUUCCAGAAUGAAUGAGUUCCGGAAACGCAUCUGGAUUUAAGGAAACAAUAGAAUGUCAGGACAUGCUGGAGAACAUUGCUCAAAUCCUUCUGGGUUGAUACACAGUGUCCAGCAGCAUCUGAUGAGAAGAAACUCAUGUCGAGAGUCAACUCCCUGUGCUGCCUCCUUCAGGAUCCCACUGCGGGCCCCAGUAUGAAGUUUGGCGCUGAAACUCAACUUGAAGGAGUUGAUCAUGGAAUGGAGAUUCGAGGGAACCAUGUUACUGAGUCAAUAGGGGAUCUUCCCAGCUGCAACCAAGGACUAGGUAUGUCAAGGAAGGAUUCGAUUGGCGAUUUUCUGCUUGAUAUACCCCGAAUAUCAUCGCUGCAAAAGUUCUUGUUCGACAUAUUGGAAUAUGGAGAAAACUAAGCUGACAGUGGAUUUUAUUACUCCUUCAGUCUCAUUUCGUUAUUCUAUUUUUCAAAAUCAUACUUUUAAUCACAUCAACAAAUAUUUCCGAGAAUAAUUUCUGAAAAUGCAAAGACAAAAUGUGACGGAGGAAGUAUUUAACAUUUCAAAAUGUAUAGAGAAUUGAGCUAUUGAGAUUCUAAGUCUCUUGUUUGUCACCCAGUAUUUGGACAUGGAGGAGUUUCUGGGGUUCGAAGAACAUGUAUUGAUGAAGAAUCCUGUUAAAACUGCUUGUACAAGGAUAGGUGUUCUAGAUCCAUUCUACAGAUAAGUUGAUUGUUUUUAACAUUAAUGGUAUUAUUAUUAUCACUUGUGAUCCUUAAGCCCAUAAA